GACGAACGCUGGCGGCGUGCUUAACACAUGCAAGUCGAACGGAAAGGCCCUGCUUUUGUGGGGUGCUCGAGUGGCGUACGGGUGAGUAACACGUGAGUAACCUGCCCUUGACUUUGGGAUAACUUCAGGAAACUGGGGCUAAUACCGGAUAGGAGCUCCUGCUGCAUGGUGGGGGUUGGAAAGUUUCGGCGGUUGGGGAUGGACUCGCGGCUUAUCAGCUUGUUGGUGGGGUAGUGGCUUACCAAGGCUUUGACGGGUAGCCGGCCUGAGAGGGUGACCGGCCACAUUGGGACUGAGAUGCGGCCCAGACUCCUACGGGAGGCAUCAGUGGGGAAUCUUGCACAAUGGGCGGAAGCCUGAAGCAGCAACGCCGGGUGCGGGAUGGCGGCCUUCGGGGUGUAAACCGCUUUCGCCUGUGACGAAGCGUGAGUGACGGUAAUGGGUAAAGCAGCACCGGCUAACUUCGUG
rnacentral:rRNA from 1 species